rnacentral:siRNA from 1 species
UCAUGAUUGAUUGCCUAAUUUGGA